CACCGCCCGUCGCUGUCCGUGCCUGAGCUGUCUCAAGAGGAGUGCAUACUACUCUAGUGAGGCUUUCGGGUCGCGAUAUGGCAGGAAACACUUCAGUCGAAAUGGCUUGAACUAGGUAAAAGUUGUAACAACGUGUCUGUAGGCGGACCUGCAGAUG
rnacentral:ncRNA from 1 species